rnacentral:rRNA from 1 species
GAUUGACGAUGGAUCACCAGUGAGUGGCGGACGGGUGAGUAACACGUAGGUAACCUGCCCCGGAGCGGGGGAUAACAUUUGGAAACAGAUGCUAAUACCGCAUAACAACAAAAGUCGCAUGGCUUUUGUUUAAAAGAUGGCUUUGGCUAUCACUCUGGGAUGGACCUGCGGUGCAUUAGCUAGUUGGUAAGGUAACGGCUUACCAAGGCGAUGAUGCAUAGCCGAGUUGAGAGACUG